rnacentral:ncRNA from 1 species
CUGGUUCACACAUGAGUGAUUAAAAGGGAAACGGGUGAAAGUCCCGUACAGUCCCGCUGCUGUGAGCCGCCGUUGUCGGUACGGGCAAGCAUGGCCACUGGCACAGUUUUUACGCCGGGAAGGCCGCCCGUAUCAGUGGCAGCAAAGUCAGAAGACCUGCCGUCGGCAAU